rnacentral:lncRNA from 1 species
GAAGUAAAGAUAGAGUAAUAAGAGGAGAAGUAAAGAAAGAAGGAGAAAUAACGAAAUAACUUGUAAAACAACUUGAAAAUCAUAUAGGAAAGCAUAUGCAUCCAAGGGGGAGCAAUUUGCAACAAUGAAAAUGAUCAAGUCAAAAAUUUCUAUCAAAUUUCAGAAUUUGGCACAUAGAAUUUCAGAAUUUGGCACGCACCUUUCACACCUCGAUACAUAACCUGAAACUCAUGUUUUAUCUCAAAUUUUUGGAGUUUCAUCUUUAAUGAAUUAUAAAUAAAAGGGGGAGCAAUUCAAAAAGUCAAAUUGGCAACAUUUGAAUGAUAUAGGGGGAGACUUCACUCUUAUAUAUGAAAAGCUGAAAUUCAGCAAGUUAAGCCCUUUCAAAAACUGAUUUUAAAAUAAGGAUCAAUAGGCUCAUACUCUUUAUUUUGUAAUCAUCAAAAAGGGGGAGAUUGAGAAUGAUAGUGUUAUUUUGAUGAUUAACAAGCAUUUAACAAGAGUAUGUUAUAAGUUAAAACGAUACUUUAUUUAUAAGUCUGUUACUCUCAGUAUAUUUGUAUAAAUUGAUAUAGAUACAUUUCAUUAUUUAUAUGAAUGAAUCUAACCUUGAGAUGCAGCAAAGUGUGGAUUGAGUCGACCCAAAGGAUGAUUGGGUCGACCCCGGCACAUCAAGAAAUUAUUUGGCACACUUCUG